AGGAUUCCCCUAGUAACUGCGAGUGAAGCGGGAAAAGCUCAAAUUUAAAAUCUGGUAGUCCUCUGGCUGCCCGAGUUGUAAUCUAGAGAAGUAUUAUCCGCGCUGGACCGUGUAUAAGUGUCCUGGAAUGGACCAUCAUAGAGGGUGAGAAUCCCGUCUUUGACACGGACUCCCAGGGCUUUGUGAUGUGCUCUCAAAGAGUCGAGUUGUUUGGGAAUGCAGCUCUAAAUGGGUGGUAAAUUCCAUCUAAAGCUAAAUAUUGGCGAGAGACCGAUAGCGAACAAGUACCGUGAGGGAAAGAUGAAAAGAACUUUGGAAAGAGAGUUAAACAGUACGUGAAAUUGCUGAAAGGGAAACGCUUGAAGUCAGUCGCGUUGGCUGGGGAUCAACCUUGCUUUUGCUUGGCUUACUUCCCAGUUGACGGGUCAGCAUCAGUUUUGACCGGUGGAUAAAGGCUAGGGGAAUGUGGCACCUUCGGGUGUGUUAUAGCCCUUGGUCAUAUACACUGGUUGG
rnacentral:rRNA from 1 species